UACGGAGGGUGCAAGCGUUAAUCGGAAUUACUGGGCGUAAAGCGCACGCAGGCGGUCUGUCAAGUCGGAUGUGAAAUCCCCGGGCUCAACCUGGGAACUGCAUCCGAAACUGGCAGGCUAGAGUCUUGUAGAGGGGGGUAGAAUUCCAGGUGUAGCGGUGAAAUGCGUAGAGAUCUGGAGGAAUACCGGUGGCGAAGGCGGCCCCCUGGACAAAGACUGACGCUCAUGCACGAAACCUUGGGUAGCGAAAGGG
rnacentral:misc_RNA from 1 species